AUUGAACGCUGGCGGCAGGCCUAACACAUGCAAGUCGAGCGGAUGAAGAGAGCUUGCUCCUGGAUUCAGCGGCGGACGGGUGAGUAAUGCCUAGGAAUCUGCCUGGUAGUGGGUGAUAACGUCCGGAAACGGGCGCUAAUACCGCAUUCGUCCUGAGGGAGAAAGUGGGGGAUCUUCGGACCUCACGCUAUCAGAUGAUCCUAGGUCGGAUUAGCUAGUUGGUGGGGUAAAGGCCUACCAAGGCGACGAUCCGUAACUGGUCUGAGAGGAUGAUCAGUCACACUGGAACUGAGACACGGUCCAGACUCCUACGGGAGGCAGCAGUGGGGAAUAUUGGACAAUGGGCGAAAGCCUGAUCCAGCCAUGCCGCGUGUGUGAAGAAGGUCUUCGGAUUGUAAAGCACUUUAAGUUGGGAGGAAGGGCAGUAAGUUAAUACCUUGCUGUUCUGACGGUACCCACAGAAUAAGCACCGGCUAACUUCGUG
rnacentral:rRNA from 1 species